UCGCACAUGAUGAAAGCAUACGCUUGGCAUCUGAAUAAAAAUUAUUUUGAAGAUAAUUUUUGUAACCAGUUAUCCCUAUCUGACACGGA
rnacentral:snoRNA from 1 species